rnacentral:rRNA from 1 species
GACGAACGCUGGCGGCGUGCUUAACACAUGCAAGUCGAACGAUGAAGCCGGAGCUUGCUCUGGUGAAUUAGUGGCGAACGGGUGAGUAACACGUGAGUAACCUGCCCUUGACUCUGGGAUAACUGCGGGAAACUGUAGCUAAUACCGGAUACGACCCUCGGAGGCAUCUCCUGGGGGUGGAAAGAAUUUCGGUCAAGGAUGGACUCGAGGCCUGUCAGCUAGUUGGUGAGGUAAAGGCUCACCAAGGCGACGACCGGUCGCCGGCCUGAGAGGGUAACCGGCCACACGGGGACUGAGACGCGACUCAGACUACUGCGGGAGGCAGCAGUGGGUAAUAUUGCACGAUGGGCGCAAGCCUGAUGCAGCAACGCCGCGUGAGGGAUGACGGCAUUCGGGUUGUAAACCUCUUUUAGCAGGGAAGAAGCGAAAGUGACGGUACCUGCAGAAAAAGCACCGGCUAACUACGUGCCAGCAGCCGCAGUAA